rnacentral:lncRNA from 1 species
UGGUCGUUGAUCUUAAAGUUGACUGGUCGACAAUUGCCUUAUGCAAGUCUUUUGAACACUGGAGAGUACUGAAGCACGUUGAUGUUAUUGUGAGAAUCAGUCAUGUCAAAAAAAGAGUGUCAAACCAAGAGAGCGUGUGAAGCCACAACUUCAAGUAUAACAAGACAACCUUUGACAUGCCUCCUAUACCACCCAUGCCAAGCAGAUGAACAGUUCUUUUACUCCCAGUGCAUACAAUCUAUGCUACCAAUCAUCACCGGAAAGCACAUGUCUGCAUUGAUCACAAACAACCAGGUUUUAUAUACAAUUGUUGGCUCUCUCAAGUACUCUGAGCCAAUCCCGACUACCACAGCCUUGCAUGAGUUGUACAUGGAUUCUAGACACGUGAACUCAAUC